rnacentral:rRNA from 1 species
AUACGGAGGGUGCGAGCGUUAAUCGGAAUUACUGGGCGUAAAGGGUACGUAGGCGGUUAUGUCAGUCAGAUGUGAAAGCCCCGGGCUUAACCUGGGAACUGCAUUUGAUACUGCAUAGCUAGAGUUUGGUAGAGGAGGGCGGAAUUCCCGGUGUAGCGGUGAAAUGCGUAGAGAUCGGGAGGAACACCAGUGGCGAAGGCGGCUCUCUGGACCAAAACUGACGCUGAGGUGCGAAAGCGAGGGGAGCAAACAGGAUUAGAAACCCCGGUAGUCC